rnacentral:rRNA from 1 species
UACGGAGGAUCCAAGCGUUAUCCGGAAUCAUUGGGUUAAAGGGUCCGUAGGCGGUUUAAUAAGUCAGUGGUGAAAGCCCAUCGCUCAACGGUGGAACGGCCAUUGAUACUGUUAAACUUGAAUUAUUAGGAAGUAACUAGAAUAUGUAGUGUAGCGGUGAAAUGCUUAGAGAUUACAUGGAAUACCAAUUGCGAAGGCAGGUUACUACUAAUGGAUUGACGCUGAUGGACGAAAGCGUGGGUAGCGAACAGG